CAGUCGAGCGAUUUACUUCGGUAAAGAGCGGCGGACGGGUGAGUAACGUGUGGGUAACCUGCCCUAUACACACGGAUAACAUACCGAAAGGUAUGCUAAUACGAGAUGACAUAAGAGAUUCGCAUGGAUUUCUUAUCAAAGCUUUUGCGGUAUAGGAUGGACCCGCGUCUGAUUAGCUAGUUGGUAAGGUAACGGCUUACCAAGGCGACGAUCAGUAGCCGACCUGAGAGGGUGAUCGGCCACAUUGGAACUGAGACACGGUCCAAACUCCUACGGGAGGCAGCAGUGGGGAAUAUUGCACAAUGGGCGAAAGCCUGAUGCAGCAACGCCGCGUGAGCGAUGAAGGCCUUCGGGUCGUAAAGCUCUGUCCUCAAGGAAGAUAAUGACGGUACUUGAGGAGGAAGCCCCGGCUAACUACGUGCCAGCAGCCGCGGUAAUACGUAGGGGGCUAGCGUUAUCCGGAAUUACUGGGCGUAAAGGGUGCGUAGGUGGUUUCUUAAGUCAGAGGUGAAAGGCUACGGCUCAACCGUAGUAAGCCUUUGAAACUGAGAAACUUGAGUGCAGGAGAGGAGAGUAGAAUUCCUAGUGUAGCGGUGAAAUGCGUAGAUAUUAGGAGGAAUACCAGUUGCGAAGGCGGCUCUCUGGACUGUAACUGACACUGAGGCACGAAAGCGUGGGGAGCAAACAGGAUUAGAUACCCUGGUAGUCCACGCCGUAAACGAUGAGUACUAGCUGUCGGAGGUUACCCCCUUCGGUGGCGCAGCUAACGCAUUAAGUACUCCGCCUGGGAAGUACGCUCGCAAGAGUG
rnacentral:rRNA from 1 species